CGAGGGUUGUGCUGUUAUAUUCCGUACCGCUAGGGGCAGCAUACGGCCAGCUCGGGGUAUAAUGCUAACUUCCUCGGCAUGAGUGGAAAGUCAAGAUAAUGGCUUGCCUCCGGCUAAUAUCAGAUCCAGGAAUGAUCCCCGGGCGUCGGCGUCCCUCACUGGCUGCAGAGUCGGCCGCCUCAGCACUGCUCGGACACGAUGAAGCCCUCCUUCUCGUGGCCCGCCGGCUCGACCUCGGCGUAGGACGGGUGGCCCGAGCCACGGCGGAACUUCAUGGCCGGCCACCUGCUCGGCCGUCUCUGCGGACACAAGUCUUCCGCCAUUGCGGCACACGUGGCUCACCUCAAUCAGGAAGAGGCUGGCGGCCGACGUCGGGUGAUGGUAGAUGUAGACGGUGACCAUCACCCCCGCCACCAUGAUGACCAUCACCAGCAGGACGCCCAGGAUCAAA